UCAUGUUGAGCACUUUAGGGUUUCUUUAGAUCUAUGUCCUACUACAGAUAAAGAAAACUAAGUAAUGUAUUGUGUGCCCUAUUCAAGCACUUUAGGGUUUCUUAAUAAAGACAAAGUGUAUAUGAGAAGUAACGAUGAAGUUAGGAUGGAAGGCGAUUAGAUAUGGUGAUGACAUGGUGGAGUAAUUGAGUUUGAAGAUUGAAUCUAUGGUGGAUAUUACAGUCAGAUGUCUUCAAUCUGACUGAGAUAAAGGAUCUGUUGAUGCCAUUGAUAAACUACUCAAUGCCAUUGAGAAAAUCUGGAAAAAAAAAUUACAGUUGCUCACUAGACAGUUUUAGAGUUGCUACUUGACGCCAUCGACUGGUCUUUGAUGGCUGUCGAUGCCAUCAAAGGUCCUAUCAAUGACGCACACAAAAGUAUGUAAGUGCACAAUUUGUUUCUAAUUCCGAUUGUGAUAGUGUGUGUGUGUGUGUGUGUGUGUGUGUGUGUGUGUGUUUAUUGGGUGUAAUCGAGAUUAGGAUAUUCUAAGUGAAUUGUAAGACAUUCAUAAGGUGUUUUAGAGCAAAGAUAGACCAACCACCAUUUCACCCUGGCGAUGGUGGCUGCACUGGAGACAGCCUUACCCUCCAUCCGCAUAGAGUUCCUUGCCCUCCAUAUCUCCCAAAUUAUGAUGUUGGGCACCAACUUUCUAUGCUUUGCAUUGCUGUUCCCACCCAACACAACAAACCACCAUUGUUUAAGUCUAACUUCAAUCGAAUGGGUUUUGAGAAAUGAUUUUUAGGGUUGUUCGGAUCAGCAAGUCUAUCCAACUCUUGUAAUAUCGUUUCAUAGUAUAUUGCUAAUUGCUUUGUGCCAUAGUUUCUUCCCAUGAGGAUUUUUCCACGCAAUUUUUGUGUUUUCUCUGUGUUUUGUUUAUGUUUGAUUUCGUCUUGUUUGACUGCAUUCGGGUUUGCUUCCGUGCGAUCCCCAACAUUAAGGAACAAUUAAUUGGGGCAUUCCAACGGACAAACUAAAUCCAAAUGCACACACCAUUAAACUACCAAUGUCACCCCACGGAUAGGGGUGUCAAACGGGACGGGUUAGGGCUGUGUCGAGCUCUGUCCAAGCCUUGCCUGCAAUUUACAAUAUAGGCCCAAGUUUAGCCCAAGCUUAUGAUAAGCUAAAAUAGUCUAGCCUAAAAUUUUUAUGCUAGCCUUAGGCCAAGCCUAAGCCCAAGCCCAAGCCCAAGCUUGAGUGCUUGAGAGAGAGAGAGAGAGAGAGAGAGAGAGAGAGAGAGAUGGGGGUGUGGGUUAUAGAAUGGAAAACUAAGAGAAAUAGAGAAAUGAGGGAAUAGGUUGGAGCUUGAAAGAUGAGAGAGCAUGGUAUGGCUAUCAAUGGGCCCGACACAAGAUACCUAAAAUUAAAAUUUUGAAUAGGCCUGACUCACCAAGCCCGGCUUAGACAAUUCAAAAUCCAAGAUGAAGUAAUGUGGGCUCAUCGCUUACUUAGGCUCACAACCAACUUAAGCCCACUUAGGCCCACUGUUGAGCCCAACAAUGACAUAGGCCUAUGGUCUACCUUAGGGACCAACAAAUACUACAUUUUUUUACUAUUUAUUUAUAGAUUUUGGAGUCUAAAUCAAAAUUUACAAAUUACUAAUUUUGAAAGAUUGGGAGGUUAAUUUAAAAUUGUAAUUAAAGAUAUAAGGAGUUGAUUUAGAGAUGUAAUUAAGAUGAUUUUCUAUAUUCAUUUUACUAUUUUAAGUGGAUUAGCAUUAUUUUUUUUUUUUCAAAGAAAGGUGGGAGCACACCACCUAAGUUUUAUUGAAUUAGAAAGGCUUUACAACCAUUCAGGUGGGCCAAUUUGAGGCCACACCUAUCAUAUAAGCAAAUCCAAAACCUAAAGACAACUAUGCCUAUAUACAUCCAACCCUCCGGUCUCCUGUGAUGAGCGGAGAUGAAACUGAGACUAUCCAACAGGCCUACCAACUGCUGCCGCUACUGAGACCUUCGAGCACCGAUGGGAAGGCGCCAUCAAUCGAAGGAUGCCUGGACUUCGAACAGUAGUCAGCUCAUCUUGACUAGACCUAUACCCACCUGGUCUAAGAGGAGAGUUCCACGAAUAGAAAGAGGGAGUUUGGAAGCAAACUGAAAAGGUUGGUGCUGUUGGAAUUUGUUUCUUAAUCUGGCCAGCCCAUCUGCCACUCCAUUCGUUUCUCUACGCAAAAAGGAAAUCCUCAAACUAACCUUUCUUCCAAAAUGUAAAACUCUGGCCCAGACGUACCAGAAGACCCACCCCGGGGCGCUAUCCUUGUUGAGCAAUCCCACCAAGCUCUUGGAAUCACUCUCCAUAACAAUUCGUGAGAAGCAUCUAGCAACAGCGAUGAAAAGGCCAUCCAACAAUGCCCUAGCUUCGGCCUUGGAAAAAGGGCUACCAGUGCCUUGGCUACCCCAAAAAAAAAAAAAAAAGGUGGAUCGCUGGUGGCUGUCUGGUUUCCACAUCUAGAAUUUUGUAUUAGCUGUUGCGCAGUUGUUGAGGUGGAGUUGCUGCUUGUUUGAUGCGGUUCGUUGUCAGACUACAGUGCAAUGGCAAUUUUGUUGUCUGUUGGCCGGUGCGGUCUCUGUUGUGAGGGCGGCAUUGUCUGUGACUUGGAAGAGCAUUGUCUGUGCUUGGCUAUGGCCUUAUUAUCUAUCUGAAUCCUCUUUUAUCAUGGAAAAAAGAAAGACUCAAAGAUCAGGAGCUCAGUUGGAUGUUUUUCGGACUGUUUCAAGGCCUGAAAAUUGGGCGAUGCUAGAUUCCCAAGCAACCAGCAAUGUCUUGGAAUUUUGUUUAGCGAGUACAAAGCAGAUGAAGGGGCUGGGGUCAUUCUGUAUGUUGAGGAGUGGCUGUUGCACAAGUUUUUCACAUCCUCCCGCUUAGCUAAUGCCAUCAGUGAGAAGGGCUAGCUAUACGAAGAAGGUACUCCCUAUAUAUGCUGGAUAUGUUUGUGGAGAUCCUGCAUUGUUUCUUUUGUCAUUUUACUGUUGGCCCCUGUAUAGGUUGAGUUUGCGGACGCGGAUCUUGCCGAUGCUCUAUUGGGUGCCCAAAGUGUUGUUGGUUUUUCAUAUUGCCUUAGCCCUUGAUGCAACAAGGGUCUUGAUGGGUGUGAAGAGGAGGUGGUAGCAGUUUUAUUGGAUUGGUGGAGAUUGAUGGAGUUGGGAGGCUGUUUUGUGACUUUGUUUGAAUGCUUCAGGGUUUAUUAUUGUGGAUUGUUUAUGGGAUGGCAUGCUUAAGGCAAAGGUGCUGUGAGAUUGUGGUGCAUGAGGCUGCUUUGGUGUGGCUGAGAAAGGUUUUUUGGGGAUAGCCCUGUCCUUGUUUGUCCACGUUGCGGCUUUGAAUUCUUGUCCUCUUUGGUUUUAUGCUGUAUAGUGGGUUUAUGAUAGGCAAGGUCUGUUUAUUAGUUUUUUGUGGCACCCACCUGAAUGAAUGUAUAACUAUUGUUGUUUUGAGUAACAAAUUUAUACAUGUGAGCUCCCA